CUCACUGCUAAGCUAUCCCUCGCUGCUAAGCUAUCCCUCGCUGCUAAGCUAUCGCCGCUGUCAACCAAUCUAUUGCUGCAAGCUAUCCCUCGCUGCUAAGCUAUCCCUCGCUGCUAAGCUAUCGCCGCUGCCAACCUAUCUAUUGCUGCAAGCUAUCCCUCGCUGCUAAGCUAUCCCUCGCUGCUAAGCUAUCCCUCACUGCUAAGCUAUCCCUCGCUGCUAAGCUAUCCCUCACUACUAAGCUAUCUAUCACUGCUAAUCUAUCGCUGCUAAUCUAUCGCUGCUAAUCUAUCGCUGCCAACCUAUCUACCGCGGCGAAUCUAUCUAUUGCUGUCAACCAAUCUACCACUGCCAACCUAUCUAUCGCUGCCAAUCUAUCGCUGCCAACCUAUCUACUGCAGUGAAUCUAUCUAUCACUAUCAUUACUAGUUCAAAAUAGAACUAGAGCAUAAAUACACUAAACUUCUUUUGAUAGGUAAUGAUUUUUAGUAACACUCAUAGCAUUAUAUCAUCUAUAUAGGGUAAAUCAUGGUCCCAUUUGGUCCCAUUUUAACAAAAUGGGACCAAAUGGGAUCAGAAUCAGUAAUUUAUAAGAAGAACAUGACCUGAGACUAGAUUUAUAAUAUAAACAGUGUAAAGUGACUAAUUUAAUAAACACUAUAUGGGACCAGGACUAAGAAAUUUGAUAAUGGAACUGAAGAAAUAUUUAGUCUCAGUUCCAUGCAUGGUCACACAGUCAGUCUACACAAGUCUCACAACACUUUCAGAUAUUUGAUCUCAAUGCACAUCAAAAAUCAACAUUUUCAAGUCUAGAGACACAACAUUCACACAGAAUCUGACUGUUGUGUGUCAUGUGAUUAGAGUUAAAUCUAGAACAAUAUAACAAGCAAACAGUGAAUGGCACUAUACAGAAACAAGCUAGUGGCAUAUAUGAUCACACUAAUAACACCACUGACAAGAAACACCAACAAUAAUAUGUGAUAAGCACCCA
rnacentral:sRNA from 1 species